rnacentral:rRNA from 1 species
ACUCCUACGGGAGGCAGCAGUGGGGAAUAUUGCACAAUGGGCGCAAGCCUGAUGCAGCCAUGCCGCGUGUAUGAAGAAGGCCUUCGGGUUGUAAAGUACUUUCAGCAGUGAGGAAGGUGGGUAUGUUAAUAGCAUAUUCAUUUGACGUUAGCUGCAGAAGAAGCACCGGCUAACUCCGUGCCAGCAGCCGCGGUAAUACGGAGGGUGCGAGCGUUAAUCGGAAUUACUGGGCGUAAAGCGCAUGCAGGUGGUUUGUUAAGUCAGAUGUGAAAGCCCGGGGCUCAACCUCGGAAUUGCAUUUGAAACUGGCAAACUAGAGUACUGUAGAGGGGGGUAGAAUUUCAGGUGUAGCGGUGAAAUGCGUAGAGAUCUGAAGGAAUACCGGUGGCGAAGGCGGCCCCCUGGACAGAUACUGACACUCAGAUGCGAAAGCGUGGGGAGCAAACAGGAUUAGAUACCCUGGUAGGUCAGC